rnacentral:rRNA from 1 species
GUCGACGGAAGUCGUUAUGAUGAUUUCAACACUGACAGAGAACUUGUUCAAAGAAAGUAGAGAUUGACUUAUAACAAUGGCUUUAGUGGCGGACUGGUGAGUAACACGUGAGCAACCUGCCUAUCAGAGGGGAAUAACAGUGAGAAAUCAUUGCUAAUACCGCAUAUGCCAUAAAUAUCACAUGAUGAAAGUGGGAAAGGAGUAAUCCGCUGAUAGAUGGGCUCGCGUCUGAUUAGAUAGUUGGUGGGGUAACGGCCUACCAAGUCGACGAUCAGUAGCCGGACUGAGAGGUUGAACGGCCACAUUGGGACUGAGAUACGGCCCAGACUCCUACGGGAGGCAGCAGUCGGGAAUAUUGCGCAAUGGAGGAAACUCUGACGCAGUGACGCCGCGUAUAGGAAGAAGGUUUUCGGAUUGUAAACUAUUGUCGUUAGGGAAGAUACAAGACAGUACCUAAGGAGGAAGCUCCGGCUAACUACGUGCCAGCAGCCGCGGUAAUACGUAGGGAGCAAGCGUUAUCCGGAUUUAUUGGGUGUAAAGGGUGCGUAGACGGGAAAGCAAGUUAGUUGUGAAAUCCCUCGGCUUAACUGAGGAACUGCAACUAAAACUACUUUUCUUGAGUGUUGGAGAGGAAAGUGGAAUUCCUAGUGUAGCGGUGAAAUGCGUAGAUAUUAGGAGGAACACCGGUGGC